rnacentral:rRNA from 1 species
GAAGGUCACGGCGAGACGAGCCGUUUAUUAUUACGAUAGGUGUCAAGUNGAAG